AGCGAACGCUGGCGGCAGGCUUAACACAUGCAAGUCGAACGGUAACAGGCCCUUCGGGUGCUGACGAGUGGCGGACGGGUGAGUAAUGCUUAGGAAUCUGCCUAGUAGUGGGGGAUAACCCGGGGAAACUCGGGCUAAUACCGCAUACGCCCUACGGGGGAAAGCGGGGACGUUUCGGCCGUCGCGCUAUUAGAUGAGCCUAAGUCCGAUUAGCUAGUUGGUAGGGUAAUGCCUACCAAGGCGACGAUCGGUAGCUGGUCUGAGAGGACGACCAGCCACACUGGGACUGAGACACGGCCCAGACUCCUACGGGAGGCAGCAGUGGGGAAUAUUGGAC
rnacentral:rRNA from 1 species